UGGAUGUCGCACUGUUGGCCAUCCCGAGGCUCCUCAAGUUGGAUAAGAUCGACCCCGAGCCCCCGGAUCAAACCCUAGCCCCGAGAUUCCCCUCUCACACUCACGCUUCUCCUAUGAACCUCGUGUCCAAGCUGUCGUCGACGCGCCGUCGCCGUCCCCGUGUCUACUGGCCUCCCCGGCGACCGGGAGUUCGUCCAGGGACUUCCUCGUCAUCGACUCCAUCAUCCCCGUGAAUCCGUUCAACCAGAGCCGCACCGUACGGAUGGAUCGAGCCGUCUUCCCCGGCACGGCCGCCGCUGUUCGUCGUCAGAUUUGUCGCCUCCCGAGCUCCCCUGACCUCCUAACCUCGUCCAUGAGCAUCACGGUGAGGCCCUCGUCCGAUUCCCCUACUUUUCCCCUCGACCCGCCGCCAUAGCCAUCACCUUGAGUUUGCCUUGGUCCGUACCGAAGCCAUGGCCGCGCUCAUCACGAGCUCCCACCCCCCCGACCGUGCCUCGCCACUGGACGUGGCCAAGCCACGCUAGUCCGUGCCCCGCCGUGCGCGUCGCUCCCUAGCGGUGCCCAGGUGCGCCAUCGCAGCCGCCCUCGGCCCUGCAGUUGCUCUGCUACUGCUGUCGUGAACGUGUUGCUCCUGCCGCCUGCUCUUGCCCAUGGCCACGCCCGCUUGCUCCUCGCGCGCGGACGUCUGCCCGGGUCGUGUCCCCUGCCCUGCUAGCUACUGCACUGCUCUUUGUGCUGCUGUCGCCGCCGACUGCGGCCUUGCUUCCUACCGCGCUGCUGAGCUGCUCCAAACGCUGCUGCUGCCUCAUACUGCUAUCACUGAUUGCUACUGGUGCUUGCUGAGCCACUAUGCACUCCCAUUCAUGCAUGCCCAGCCAUGCAUCGCUGGCUACCUACUGCCGGACGGGGCUUGCCUGCUCUCGUCGCCUGCUCCCAUCCCUGCUCCCCUUCGCUAAUUCUUCAUCUAACGGCUGGCGCUAUUUUCCGUCCCCAUGCGUCUUUUCUGGCAAAAAAGAAAUCACGAAGCUCCUGUAUUUCCGUUUGCCCGAAUACGUAUUCGCUCCUCUAUCUCUUUCCCUGCCGACAGUCGACCGUGGGGAGUGGAGGCAUCGAGUGGAUCGGUUACCUCCCCAAGGCGUCGUUGCGGCUUCCGGCGGGAGGUCCGUCGGCGUCCACUGCCUUGUCUCACCGUAGUCCACAGUCAUGGCGCUGUGCUCGUCCCAGAUUUCGGCUUCUCCCGCCGCAAGACCGGCUCCCGCUCUUGAUUCGUCCUCGUGCAAGGGCUAGGUCUUGGAGUUGCCUGUGAUGCGGGCAGCCAUGGUGGAGCUCGGGUCGGGAUAGUGGAGGUGGUGGUGGCUGUUGUGCCUCCACUGAAGACCACGGGCGAUGGCAGGGCAGAGGCCGUGGCGAACGACGAGGGCGGCCACCAUCCAGCGGGUCUUCGUGGGCCCGACACCGGCCAUGCGGCUGCCGACCUAGCCUACUAGCGCCAUGGAUGAUGCCAGAAAGACGGUUCAACUAAGUGAACAAACUACUCCUUAGAUCGAUGCAUGCAAAGUCAUUGGUUUGGCUCAUCCUCAUCCAGGUGACAAUGGUGCUCCAUUACCAUAGUGAUCGACUAAUGGUCUGUUUGUCAGGUUAGACAAACUAAUCUAUGAUGUUGGUAAUAGUACAGUUUGUACCUGAUGCUAACCAAGCCUAUUAAUACAAGACAGAUAAGACUAUUUUUAUAUUUAUCACAUUCACAAAUUGCUUAUUCAGUCAAUUGCUGAUUGAUAUAGGUAGUCUCCUUCAAUCCAUGGUCGUAUACUCAUAGGUUCUAAUAGAAUUGCACAGAAGUACAUGAAAUAAAAAUCUAUAACAUUGAUUAAGCUGGCUUUUGUUGUUGGGAGAAUUGUAGAUUUUGUCUUGGGAUCAUCGUCGGGGUUGAGGUACCAACGAUAGGAUUUUGUUGCUGGAGAAAUGACAGAUUCUGUCCAGGCAUCAUCAUAGGGGUAGAAGUACCACUGGUAGGAGUCUGCUGUUGAAAGAAUGAUAGAUUCUGUCCGGGCAUCAUCAUAGGGGUAGAAGUACCACUGGUAGGAGUCUGCUGUUGAAAGAAUGAUAGAUUCUGUCCGGGCAUCAUCGUAGGGGUAGAAGUACCACUGGUAGGAGUCUGCUGUUGGAAGAAUGGUAGAUUCUGUCCUGCCAUUAUCAUAGGGGUAGAAGUACCACUGGUAGGAGUCUGUUGUUGGAAGAAUAAUAUAUUUUGUCCUGGCAUCAUUGUAGGGGUCGACAGACCAAUGGAUUGUUGCAGACUUGAGUUGUAAUGUGCUAAAUAGGGGUAAGCAUGACUUAGCGGAGCUCCCAGUUGAACCUAUGCAGAUAAAUAGCAAAGCUUAGGUCACAGGUGAUUGAUAAUGAGAAAUAGUUUAAUAAUUAAACUUCUUAUACCAUUUGGGUUGGAUUGUACUGUGGUAAAUACACAGGCAUUUGGUUUGUCAAAGGCAUUUCAGGUCCUUCUUGUAAAGAAUUGACUGUCUUCUUUUUCUUCUUUGUUCUUGCUUUCUCUAAGCAUCAGCAGGUCUUGCUGAUCCUGGUACAAUAUUUUCUCUGAAUUGACCCUAUGAAGAUUAACAGCAAAACUUAGUGUGGUUCAAGUUUAAAAAGGAGAUAAAGUCAAAAAGCUUCGACUUCUUAUACCAUUAAGAUUGGGUUAUAUGUAGGCAUUUGAUUUGUGAAGGCAUUUCAGGUUGUAGUUGUAAAGAAUCAUCUAUCUUCUUUUUCUUCGUUGUUUUUGCUUUCUCCAAGCCACCAACGGGUCUCGCUGAUCCUCGUACAGUCUUCUCUUUGACCUUCAUACCUCUUGGCAUGUGAAGCCCCUCGUUAUGCUUUGAAACUCUAGUAGAGUCGAUGUUCAGACCUGCAACCAUAUAGUUAAAUGUAAGUCUUUGAAUAUACCCUAUGCAACUAGUAGUAAUAGUAUAUAACUAUAUACCUUGCGAAACAGAGGAGUCACCCAAAUCUGGAUUUAGGUCUGGAUCAACUCUAAUUUUCAAGCUUUGCUCCACAUCUUGUGCUAGCUGCUCUGCACAUUUAGCAGCCAUAUCAUAUGUUUCAUCGGACUCUGCGGCGCGAGCAGCUAUGUGGAUAAACAUUCUACACAAGUCCUUAUAAAAGUUCGACAUUCUUGCUUUUAGACCUUCAUGCAGAUUGCGAUUGCUUGUUAUCUCUAGCACUUUCACAUCAAUUGUCCAUCUUUUCAGUAUAUAUUUUUCAGGGAUAUGCUUGAUAUUAUUAAUAUCAAGUAUCUUUAAGCAAUGAGAGCAGAGGAUUCCAGCAAAUUCAAACUUCUUGCAACUGCAAUUGACCUUUUCUUCAUUUGGAUAAAAACUGACAACAUGCUCGCGCUGUGUUCCAUGAAAUUUUACUGUGUUAACCUUCUUCUCUUUAUCACUUGAAUCACAAAGAAAUGUGUCAUAGUUCAGGAUCCGAAGCACUUGCUCCUAAAACAUCUUGAAUAUUGCGGGAGUAUAUGUAGUUGCGGCUUGCCUUAACUUAUAGCUACCUUCCGCCUUCAACUUGGGAGUAGUUUGUGACGCCUUUAAGUCACACUUCACCUCUACAAAUCUUUUAUCCGCAACUAGACGCUCAAAAUGCUCAAAAAAUGUAAGCAUGUCAUAUUUAAUACUAAUGUACCGCUUUAGUUCAUUAUUCAUGCUUUCACUUCUUUGGGUAGUGCUCAUGUGGGCUGAGGAUGUAUUUCUGCCAUACACUAGUGCCCAUUGCUCCCUUUUCUCAAACAGCCUUUGCAACCACAUAUUGUCACGGAGUCCAUACCUGUCUAGCAUUCUAUUCCAUUCAUUUAUAAAAUUGUCUUCUUCCUCAAUAUCAUAGAUACAAUGCUGCAAAUCGGCAUUGAACUUCUUAUAUUCUUCAACAACCCCAGCAAGGUGCUUGCAAGCAUUUUGAUUCAUAUGCCACACACAAAGUCUAUGGUGAGAUUGAGGAAGGACUUUACUGAUUGCCUUGGCCAUUGCUGCAUCUUCAUCGGUCAGAAUAGUCCUUGGAUGUUUCCCAGACAUAGCUGUUAGAAAUGUUCUAAAAAGCCAACCAAAACUUUCAGCAGUUUCAUCAUAGAGAAGUGUAGCACCAAAGACCAUGGUUUUCUUGUGAUUAUUCACCCCAACAAUCAAACCAAAGGGGCGCCCAUCAUCUAGUUUCCUAUAUGUGGUGUCAAAGCAUAUAACAUCACCAAACAUUGCAUAGUCUGAUAUCAUUUUCGAAUCAGCCCAGAAAAUAUUAGUUAUCAGAUCAUCCUCAUCAACUUGAAUUGAAUAGAAAAAAUUGGCAUCUUCUUUUACCUUCUUCUCCAUGUAUUCUAACACCCCCCUGUGUCUCCUUUCUUUGCUUGCAGUGUUCUCUUAGAGUACAAACAAUUUUCCAUAUCUUCGGGUGCAAACCCAAGAUUUGGAAGUCCACAUGCUUCUUUGGCCAUAAGAUCUAUAGUUGCUUUAUUUGAAAUGCCCACAGACUUUGCGACUUCAGCGUUUGCUAUUUGUGCUUCUGUGACUUUCCUUUGGGAUCUUAAGUAUAGGGCCAUGUCUCCAGUAGCAAGAGGAUGGUUAUGUGCUGCCUUAAAUUCGUACACAAAAUAUAAUCCAUUUUGAGACUUAUCUUCAUAUGGGCUUGACAACCACAUCGUGUUUCGGGCCUACUAUAACUGAAUGAAUCCUCUCUGCUAUCUUCAGCACGGAAUCCUGUCAAUUAAAGUAAUUAUCUUAGUGAAACCAAAAGUAAUAGUAGUAUAACCAAAACAAAAAUACAAACAACCCAUACCUUGACGGGAGCACGUAAAUGUUCGUUGUUGUAUUACAGUAGUAUUCUUCACUUUAUGGUGACUCCCUCUUCGGAUGCUAAAACCAGUAGCUUUUGCAUAUUUGUUAUAAAAUGAGUAGGCCUCCUCCUCCGAUAAAAAUGUCAUGUCAAUCUUUGGUAACCUGUUGUCAGUACAAUUUGUUGCAACAUUUUCUUGCACAUCCUGUAUGAAUUAGUAUUCAAUUUUGUUAAUGCACAUUUUCACAUAUGUUGUAUUGUGCUUACCAUGCGUAAUUUGACAGGAUUUAUGAAACACAGAUUAAAAAGAGAUUACCCAUGUCAUAAAUUAGAAUAUGCUGACUAGAGUAUUAACUGAGUAUUAAGCAUCUAUUUUGACAUGUGCAGUUUCUUCAUGUACCAGGCAUAAGGCUAGUAUAAUUAUAACCGAUCCAUAAGCUGUAUCAUCCUAUACGAAGCAAACACAGAUGUUUUAUGAUCAUGAUCGACAUUUUCAAUUUUGUUUUCAUUUGGAAGAAUUAACAAUCUACAAUCGUGAAGGCAUUUUUGAUGUUUAUCAGCACGGAAAAUUAAUCAGUACAUUCUACAAGGAAAAGAACAACGAAAAGAGAUCUUGAAGGCUAUACUUUUGGUCCCUGAGAUUCAUCACCGUCCUCAUGGAUUCGAGGAACGAUGCUUGAAGAAGCCAUGGAGAACAAGAUGCCCCUUUCCUUCAGCCCCUAGGUCGCCUUGCUUCUGCCCGAUUGAUGCACCUUAGCCUUGUGAAUUUCCUUCUUCUGCCUGAUAUUGAAUUUGUUUGACGUGCUUCUGCCAAGGAUCUUGUUCCUGAUUGAUGUGGGCGAUGGUGAGAUUUGCGUGUUUGUGUGUUUU